rnacentral:rRNA from 1 species
CGCGUACGAUGAGUGUAGUGUUAUNCNGUUUCCGCCCUUUAGUGCUGCCNCAAACGCAUUAAGCACUCCGCCUGGGGAGUACGGUCGCAAGACUGAAACUCAAAGGAAUUGACGGGGGCCCGCACAAGCGGUGGAGCAUGUGGUUUAAUUCGAAGCAACGCGAAGAACCUUACCAGGUCUUGACAUCCUCUGACAACCCUAGAGAUAGGGCUUCCCCUUCGGGGGCAGAGUGACAGGUGGUGCAUGGUUGUCGUCAGCUCGUGUCGUGAGAUGUUGGGUUAAGUCCCGCAACGAGCGCAACCCUUGAUCUUAGUUGCCAGCAUUCAGUUGGGCACUCUAAGGUGACUGCCGGUGACAAACCGGAGGAAGGUGGGGAUGACGUCAAAUCAUCAUGCCCCUUAUGACCUGGGCUACACACGUGCUACAAUGGGCCAGAACAAAGGGCAGCNAAGCCGCGAGGCUAAGCCAAUCCCACAAAUCUGUUCUCAGUUCGGAUCGCAGUCUGCAACUCGAACUGCGUGAAGCU